rfam:Schistosoma rodhaini strain Burundi genome assembly, scaffold: SROB_scaffold0000533
AUCCAGCUGACGAGUCCCAAAUAGGACGAAACGCGCGCCGUGGCUGGAU